rnacentral:rRNA from 1 species
AUGAAUCUGCUUGCCUGGAACUAUCGGGGCUUGGGGUUGGACAUGACAGUUGGCGAACUUAGAGACCUGAUACGGUCCCACAAUCCAGCGGUGGUUUUUCUUUGCGAAACAAUGAAGAAGGCGAGAUCAAUGGAGAGACUUAAGUGGAGUUUGGGCUUUAACUGUGGUGUAGCAGUGGACUAUGUCGGUAAGAGUGGUGGUCUUGCUUUGUGGUGGAGAUAUCACUUGCAAGUUUUAGUACGUCCAUGGAGCCAGUACUUUAUCGAUGCUGAGGUGACGUGUGAGGGAUAG